rnacentral:lncRNA from 1 species
GAUGUUAGUUUAAGGAAGCGGCCUGCUAGCACUAAGAUGAAAUCAGAGAUAAUGGCGAGUCCCGGACCUUCCUCAUUGACUCUCUGAAAGUGUUUACCUUCAGAACACCUCAGAACACCGCUAUCCUGUGAGUUCCCGAAGCCAGUGGCAAGAUUUUGGAAGUCCCUUGUCUUCACAUUGCCGGGAUCAACGUCUUGCUCAACUGAGCCACUCACCCAGUGGAGAUGGACAGAACUGUUGCCCUCAUGCUGACUCACGUCUGAAUCACAGCCCAGGUCUUUUGCAGGCAGGGCUGCACUGUCAUAGGAUCCCUUCUGAGAACAGCCAUGUAACAGGGAGGUGGCUGGACUCUGAACGGAGCAGAGAGAAGCUCUCUCGAUCAUAAACGUGUGAACUAUGUCACCCAUCCUGCAGCUAACUCAAACAUACACAUCUUUGAAAACUUGCCCCAGUGAUCAGUUGAACAGCUAAGCUGGGAAUGAGGAAGUGGUCUUUGUUCCCACUGGAGACAUUGGUGGUGACACUUCACAGCUUCAAGGGAAAAGCUUGCAGGUCUUGUUUUGGUAUUUUUCCCUAGAGGCACCAGAAACCCAAUUUAAUAAAAAAACAAAAAACCAAAAAAAAAAAAAAAAAAAAAAAAC